rnacentral:rRNA from 1 species
CCUACGGGAGGCAGCAGUGAGGAAUAUUGGUCAAUGGGCGCGAGCCUGAACCAGCCAAGUCGCGUGAGGGAAGACGGUCCUAUGGAUUGUAAACCUCUUUUGUCGGGGAGCAAAAGACGCCACGCGUGGCGUUCCGAGAGUACCCGAAGAAAAAGCAUCGGCUAACUCCGUGCCAGCAGCCGCGGUAAUACGGAGGAUGCGAGCGUUAUCCGGAUUUAUUGGGUUUAAAGGGUGCGCAGGCGGAUUUUUAAGUCAGCGGUCAAAUCGUGGGGAUCAACCCCAUCCAGCCGUUGAAACUGGGGUGCUAGAGUGUGCGAGAGGUAUGCGGAAUGCGUGGUGUAGCGGUGAAAUGCUUAGAUAUUGCGCAGAACUCCGAUUGCGAAGGCAGCAUACCGGCGGCGAUCUGACGCUGAGGCACGAAAGCGUGGGUAUCGAACAGGAUUAGAUACCCGAGUAGUC